CACGUAGGGCGCAAGCGUUGUCCGGAAUUAUUGGGCGUAAAGAGCGUGUAGGCGGUUAUACAGGUCCGCUGUGAAAACUGGAGGCUUAACCUCCAGACGUCGGUGGAAACCGUAUGACUAGAGUCCGGAAGAGGAGAGUGGAAUUCCUGGUGUAGCGGUGAAAUGCGCAGAUAUCAGGAAGAACACCCGUGGCGAAGGCGGCUCUCUGGGACGGUACUGACGCUGAGACGCGAAAGCGUGGGGAGCGAACAGG
rnacentral:rRNA from 1 species